rnacentral:rRNA from 1 species
AGGAAGAAUUUUUACAAAGAGACAAGUAAGUGUGAAUUAUGUGAUGAUGAACCUAAUGAACAUCUAAUGCACCUCUUUUUUAGUUGUGAUUUCAGCCAAAAUUUCUGGAUGAGCAUAGGCUACCAAUGGGACACUGAUUAUAACCUGAUGGAAAUUCUCUUGGAGGGUAAGAAACAAGAUAACUAUGGAUGUUUUAAAGAGUUCCUAAUAGCUGGUUGUUGGAGUCUAUGGAAGCACAGAAAUAGCAUUAUUUUUUAUCACAAGGUCAAAAAUAUGGCAUACUAUUUAACCAUGUUCAAGAAGCACUUCAGUAUGAUCAUAAAGAAGGAAAAACCUGGUUUGAAGGAGGGCAUGCAAAGCUGGCUAGACCACUUGUAG